UACGUAGGGUGCGAGCGUUAAUCGGAAUUACUGGGCGUAAAGCGUGCGCAGGCGGUUCGUCGUGUCCGAUGUGAAAGCCCCGGGCUCAACCUGGGAAUGGCAUUGGAAACUGGCGGACUCGAGUGUGGCAGAGGGGGGUGGAAUUCCGCGUGUAGCAGUGAAAUGCGUAGAGAUGCGGAGGAACACCGAUGGCGAAGGCAGCCCCCUGGGCUAACACUGACGCUCAUUCACGAAAUCGUUGUGAGCAAACA
rnacentral:rRNA from 1 species